ensembl:lncRNA
AUUUGGAAUGACAUGUAGGUGAGUAAAUGAUUUUCAGUACUUCAAUUUCUGGUUGAACUGUCCCUUAAAGACUCUACAGCCUAUUGAAAAGACAUAAAUGUAUUACUUACAACCUUGAUUUCAUUAAUCUCAAAGGAAAUACCCUCAAACUAAAUGUAAACAAGUCCGUAAAGCAAUGCUAACAUCUGCAAUCUGGUUGGUAAUACGUGAUUGGCACACUGGGCUAUAUCUUCCCGAGAACCCUGAUCUCUUGUGAAAAAACAUGGUAGCCUGUCCAUGCAGACAGAUCUGACUGUGUAAUGUAUUGACAGUUGAGCAGUCUACAUUAAGUGCAUACAUUGAAAACACACGUCUGUCAAGGGAGGGGGGUUAUUUAGGAGGAAGAUCAAUAGAAGGUUAAAUGACGGCCCUUCUUUGACUCUACAGGCCCAGCUAGAGCAAGGGGGAGUAGCUCUUCCGAACUCUCCCCCUCCUUUUCUCUUUCCCUACUGCUUCUGCAGCCAUCACACAUACUCAGCUUAGUUAGCCUGGGAAAAAGAGCCCCAAACCCCGAUCAAUAACUUUGGUCUUGUCUGCCUAAUUGCUCAUUGGUUGACAUUGGCACCCAGCUAUAUGUAAGUGCAUGUUCCUGGAGUGAUUCACUCUUCCCUUUCCUCUCUCUCUCCACCUCCCUCUCUUUACUCUCAAAAACGCCUCACGCCCUCUGUUCCUUCCUCUUCGCCACGUUUGGGAUGCCCGAACCACAGUUGUCACGUCGGGACGUGAGCAUCCAAAGGCUCCGGCAAGACCUGCUCCACUCUCAUCAGGCCCGUGACGCCCAGAGCGUUCAGCUGGACGUCCAAGAGCAGAGACUGCAGGAUCUGCAGCGAGAGCUGCAAGAAAGCCAGCAGGAGCUCCAGAGGAGACACGACCGCAACCAGCAGCUUCUCAGGUUGCUGCAAGAUGCCAGGAAGCAAGAUCAGGAGCUACAGGCUCAGGAAUGGUGUUGGCUCCGGAGGGCACAAGAGGACCUGAAAGCGAGAGAGGAGGAGUGGAGGAAAGAGAGAUCCUUCCUUCAAGAGCAGCUCGAUGGUGUCAGAGAGGAGCUCCACCAUGCCAAACACUCGGGGAAGAAGAGCAUCAGCUGAAAGUGCUGCAGAUUGAUGAACUCCAAAGAGAGGUUGACAAGACGCUGGCACUGCUUGAAAAGGAGAGAGAGCUGGUAGAAGAGCAGUCCACAGUCUCCAGGCUGCAGUGUGAGCAACAGGAAGCAGAACAUCAGAGGGAUCUCCUGGGCACCAGAGUAGCUGCGCUGAACUGUGACAUCCAGCAGAAAGACUGCAUGCAGCUCACAGAGCAGGAUGAGGUACAUCACACCAAAUACUUGGGUAAAACAGUGUCUGGUAAGGGUUCCUGUAGAGUAAAAGCUGUGUGUGCUGUAGGUGUCCAGUAG